rnacentral:rRNA from 1 species
CUCGAGCGUUCUCACACAUCCAUCUCANNNAUUUGUGCAUCACCGCGUGGGCCCUCCUUUGCAGGGAGGGCUUGCGUUUUCACAUAAAACUCGAUACAGUGUAGAAUGUCUUUUUCUUUUGCGGUCACACGCAAUCAAUACAACUUUCAACAACGGAUCUCUUGGCUCUCGCAUCGAUGAAGAACGCAGCGAAAUGCGAUACGUAAUGUGAAUUGCAGAAUUCAGUGAAUCAUCGAAUCUUUGAACGCACCUUGCGUCCCUUGGCAUUCCGAGGGGCACACCCGUUUGAGUGUCUUGAAAUCAUCAAAGCCCCUUUUCUUUGAUCCUCUUUUGGUCGGGAAAAUGAUUUUUGGACUUGGAGGUUCUAUGCUUGCUUUUUGAAAGCAAGCUCCUCUCAAAUGAAUUAGUGGGGUCUGCUUUGCUAAUCCUUUGACGUGAUAACAUGUUUCUACGUUUUGGAUUUACCACUGUCCCUCAGACAACCUGCUCCUAACCGUCCCGUUGGACAAAAC